GCAAGUGAGUAUGGAACAAUGGCAGGUCCUUAAUUUCUAUACCAAUGGUUUCAGACUGGACCUAGAGGUCAAAUUAGAUAAUUAAAUCCAGGUAAUCUUAUAAAGAUGUGCAAUUCUUCCUCUUCAAAACCCUUGUGUUUUCAUGCAACAAAUUUGCCCAAUAUGCCACCAUUGCUUCCUGCAAAGCAGAACUGAGAGAUCUGUGAAGAAAGCUGUUAAAUAUUCCCUUAGGAUUUAGGCGCUGAUGAUCAGUGCAGCAGCAAGCAGGCAGAUGUUAACACACCUCAGUUGGCAGGAAGAUUCAAUUUUUAAAAGACUGUGUGUUCCAAAUAACUGUGGCAGAUGUACAGUGAAGCCCACAGAGCUGUGGGAGCUCAUCACUAAUACCGAGGGUCUUGGAUCUUCCUGACAGAUAACAGCUUGCUGUAAGCAGCUGUCUCCAGAGGCUUGCUGUUAUUUGGAAACAGCACAUUUCAGUGCCUCUUUUCUUGACAAUACCUGGGAUUAAUUUAGUCUACUGUUGUCUAAAGAUCCCUCUCUGUGGACAGAGAUCUAUCUUGAAGGAAAUGGCUACCGAGACCCAAAUUGAGUGAUGAAGAAUUGUGAUUGCCAAAUUUGUUUACAUAGAUAGGCUUUUUAGCUGAGACUUUCACUGUGUGGUUUGACACUAAAAAAGUCAUUCCUGGAUUGGAGCAUUGGGAAACAGUAUAAGGGAGUAAAAAUUGUUGUACAGAACUAGAAAACAACUCUUUUAACUAUAUCCAUCAUUUAAAAUAGAAAAAAAAACCAAAACAAAAAAUAUUAAGUGAAUUGCAUUUUCUCAAGUCUGGCUAAGGAACAAAGCAUUUCUUGCUGGAUUUGUGAAUGUGUUCAGUACUGUACAAACAAAAGAAAUGUUCUUUUCCCUUAAUACUUCUAUAAACCUACGUUCUGCCACUUUAAUCUACCAGUGACAAUAAUGCAGCAUUUUAUUUCCUGAUUUGUUGUGACUGUUAAACCUAUGGGCUUAGAUAAUUUUGUUAAAAUACAAUUAAAAUUUAACAACUUGCCUAGUUAUCCUCCUAGUCAAAUUUGUCCUCAUUUGAAAUGGCUCUUUUCUAAUUUUGACUUAUUAAAUUCCGUGAGAAAGAUCAAAGGUGCCCUCCUGCUCCUUAUUACAGAGGAUCAAUGGAUCAGAUACUUCAAGGUUUGAUAAAAUCUCUCAGUGAAUUCAGCUGUAUGCAGUAAUUAUUAUGUUAUUAGGCCAUUUUGCAGUAAGAGUUAAACUCCCAAUCCUUUUGUAAAUAGCAUCAAUACAUGCUAAACAAGUACCUCUUUCCUGAGGAACAUGGUCCUGUUCUUGUUUCAAAUUUGAAAAUGUACCAUGUCCUUUUCAGUUGCUAAGCUGUGUGAUUUACGAACUGCUCUCGAUGGAUUGUAUUGGCAUCCCAUCAGGACUGCAUUCUAGCCUUCCUCCCUAAAAUACAGGCAGUUCUAAGAAAGCAGCACUAUUCUUGUGAAAACAGCAUUUAUAUAUUUCUCUUGCAUGUUUAUCCUCAGCAUCAUCUUACUGGGAACAUGCUUAACCUGCCAAAAGCUCUUCUGAACUCUGCCUGCCAACCAUUCCAAAGUCCAAAUUUCUCAUGCAAAUGCCAUAUGACCUCAGGUGCUUCAAUGAAAGUUCUUGGGUAUGAGGCUCUUCUCAAAACGUGGCCCUAAGUCACUGCAGUUCUGAAGAAAGAUUGACUCAGACAUCACUCACUCUGGUCAGAACCUGCCACUGCAUAUCUGGGAGCAAUCUGAACAUAGGUGAUGGAAAGCCCCUGCAGUCUCAGUCUGCCUGCUAAUAGGUCACUGUUACAACUGGACAAUGAUGCUCCAAGCUGCUGGAACCAAACAACUGGGCUUUGCUUGCUGCAAGGCUCCCCACAGCUGUGCUCUGGGCAGUGCAGCCUGGAGCUACACAGAUACUGAUUCCCUUCUCACUUAUUCCACCUCUUCUCAGGUUCUUGGCAAAUUUGCCUCAUCCUUCUAGCUUUUAGACAGUGCUGAUAAUAGAUCACUGCAGGAACAGGAUUCAUUUAUCCAAAACUCUUUAAAGACUGGAAAGGAUGGACUUCAAAGGCAGGAAAAUGGGACACAGUGCAGCUGAACAGGGGAGAAGGGAGGGCAUUCAGAUUAAAUGAGCCCUUCCGUAUGCAGGCAAAGAAAUGGGUUUCUGUCUGCCUUUUCUAAUGGUGGGC